rnacentral:rRNA from 1 species
UACGUAGGGGGCAAGCGUUGUCCGGAAUUAUUGGGCGUAAAGCGCACGUAGGCGGCUUUCUAAGUCGGGGGUGAAAUCCUGGAGCUCAACUCCAGAACUGCCUUCGAUACUGGAGAGCUCGAGUCCGGGAGAGGUGAGUGGAACUGCGAGUGUAGAGGUGAAAUUCGUAGAUAUUCGCAAGAACACCAGUGGCGAAGGCGGCUCACUGGCCCGGUACUGACGCUGAGGUGCGAAAGCGUGGGGAGCAAACAGG